rnacentral:lncRNA from 1 species
AUCUUUGUCACUUUGAGGAAAUAUUGAAUAAAGCUAAACCCAACUAAGUGCAUCUUUGGAGUCACUUUGGGUAAGUUCCUAAGUUUUAUGAUGUCUAGUUGGGGAAUAGCGGCCAACCCUGAAAAAAUUUCAGCCAUACAGUAGAUGGGUUUGCCUAAGAAUAUCAAGGAAGUUCAGCACCUCAUAAACAAAGUUACAGCACUGAACC